AAUAAACUAAUUUUUUACUUUUUACCUUUAAUUUUUGACUUUUCGUCUUAUUCAAUUUUUUUUGCGAUUGAUAUUUUUGUUUUUAUUAGAUGAUAAAUCAUGAAUAGUACUUUACGUAUAACUAAUUUUUUUCUAAUUUUUUUAAAAAAAUUCAAAUAAAACGAAUAGUCAAACGUUGUUGGACACGUAAACC
rnacentral:pre_miRNA from 1 species